UGCAUUCACUACUGUAAGUCACUCUGGAUAAGAGCGUCUACUAAAUGACUAAAA
rfam:Salmo salar isolate Sally breed double haploid chromosome ssa10, whole genome shotgun sequence.